AUUAGAGAGCCAUAAGAGUGCGGAGUCACUCCUUUGAGACGCUCGGGGUUCCCAGGAAGACCGGUGGCAGCGCGUUACAGAAACCUAAGACAGAAAAAGAUGGAGAGAGUGACAAAUCUCCAGGAUCUCUGCCUGCUGACAGUUUGGUGCCGGCUGAACUCAAAGAUCAAGCAAGUCCUCAAGAAGAGACAUAAAA